GCUAGAUUAACUCAAGGGUAGAGUGUGUAUUUUGUAAGUAUAAGGUUAGGAGUUCAAAUCUCUUAUCUAGCA
rnacentral:tRNA from 1 species